GCUCAGAGUGAACGCUGGCGGUAGGCCUAACACAUGCAAGUCGAACGGCAGCACAGUAAGAGCUUGCUCUUAUGGGUGGCGAGUGGCGGACGGGUGAGGAAUACAUCGGAAUNUACUUUUUCGUGGGGGAUAACGUAGGGAAACUUACGCUAAUACCGCAUACGACCUACGGGUGAAAGCAGGGGAUNUUCGGACCUUGCGCGAUUGAAUGAGCCGAUGUCGGAUUAGCUAGUUGGCGGGGUAAAGGCCCACCAAGGCGACGAUCCGUAGCUGGUNUGAGAGGAUGAUCAGCCACACUGGAACUGAGACACGGUCCAGACUCCUACGGGAGGCAGCAGUGGGGAAUAUUGGACAAUGGGCGCAAGCCUGAUCCAGCCAUACCGCGUGGGUGAAGAAGGCCUUCGGGUUGUAAAGCCCUUUUGUUGGGAAAGAAAUCCAGCCGGUUAAUACCUGGUUGGGAUGACGGUACCCAAAGAAUAAGCACCGGCUAACUUCGUGCCAGCAGCCGCGGUAAUACGAAGGGUGCAAGCGUUACUCGGAAUUACUGGGCGUAAAGCGUGCGUAGGUGGUUGUUUAAGUCUGUUGUGAAAGCCCUGGGCUCAACCUGGGAACUGCAGUGGAAACUGGGCAACUAGAGUGUGGUAGAGGGUAGCGGAAUUCCCGGUGUAGCAGUGAAAUGCGUAGAGAUCGGGAGGAACAUCCAUGGCGAAGGCAGCUNCNGGNCCA
rnacentral:rRNA from 1 species